rnacentral:sRNA from 1 species
CCGUAACCAUUUUGAAUCAAG